rnacentral:tRNA from 6 species
GCCGGUGUAGCUCAGUUGGUAGAGCAGCGCACUUGUAAUGCGAAGGUCGAGGGUUCGAUUCCUUUCACCGGCACCA